rnacentral:rRNA from 1 species
AACGUAGGGGGCUAGCGUUGUCCGGAAUCAUUGGGCGUAAAGAGCGUGUAGGCGGUCCGGUAAGUCCGCUGUGAAAGUCGGGGGCUCAACCCUCGAAUGCCGGUGGAAACUGUCGGGCUAGAGUGCGGAAGAGGCGAGUGGAAUUCCUGGUGUAGCGGUGAAAUGCGCAGAUAUCAGGAGGAACACCUAUUGCGAAGGCAGCUCGCUGGGACGUAACUGACGCUGAGACGCGAAAGCGUGGGGAGCAAACAGG